GAUGAACGCUAGCGGCAGGCCUAAUACAUGCAAGUCGGACGGGAUUCAGGAGCUUGCUUCUGAUGAGAGUGGCGCACGGGUGCGUAACGCGUAUGUAACCUACCUUUAUCAGGGGGAUAGCCUCUCGAAAGAGAGAUUAAGCCCGCAUAAAAUCACAGCACAGCAUUGUGUAAUGAUCAAAUAUUUAUAGGAUAAAGAUGGGCAUGCGGAACAUUAGCUAGAUGGCGGGGUAACGGCCCACCAUGGCGACGAUGUUUAGGGGAUCUGAGAGGAUGGCCCCCCACACUGGUACUGAGACACGGACCAGACUCCUACGGGAGGCAGCAGUAAGGAAUAUUGGUCAAUGGGCGGAAGCCUGAACCAGCCAUGCCGCGUGCAGGAAGACGGCCCUACGGGUUGUAAACUGCUUUUAUACGGGAAUAAACCCAGAUACGUGUAUCUGGCUGAAUGUACUGUAAGAAUAAGGAUCGGCUAACUCCGUG
rnacentral:rRNA from 1 species